rnacentral:rRNA from 1 species
CAGUAGCCGCGGUAAUACAGAGGGUGCGAGCGUUAAUCGGAUUUACUGGGCGUAAAGCGUGCGUAGGCGGCUUCUUAAGUCGGAUGUGAAAUCCCUGAGCUUAACUUAGGAAUUGCAUUCGAUACUGGGAAGCUAGAGUAUGGGAGAGGAUGGUAGAAUUCCAGGUGUAGCGGUGAAAUGCGUAGAGAUCUGGAGGAAUACCGAUGGCGAAGGCAGCCAUCUGGCCUAAUACUGACGCUGAGGUACGAAAGCAUGGGGAGCAAACAGGAUUAGAUACCCGCGUAGUCCCUGUCUAUUAUAC